CUCUCCACAUGAGAACCUGGGCUCGAGGUGAGGGGUGCUCUCUGUGCGUGAGGGACAUGGCAAUCGAAUUGUCUCACACAGAAAUCGCACCCUCUCCUCGGCCUGCUCAGCACCACGCAGCCUG
rnacentral:pre_miRNA from 14 species